CUUACCCAGACUCAUUAUAAAAGGACCCAUGUUCCUUUGUCUAUCACUCACAUUCCAUUGCAAACAGAUCGUUUGGCUUUUAACGUUACUUGAUAGAAGAAAAAAAUCAUGAAUAUGAUACUUUUAAUAUCAGCUAUUCUAUUAGCAUGUUGCGUGUCAACUAAUGCCCGAUAUAACGACCAAUUUCGAGCAGGUGCUAAUAUAAACAAUGGCGUUCCGAGUCUGUCCGGAUCUUGGACAAGGACGGGAAGUAAUUGGGAAACAUCAGUUCAUGGAAGUGUAAGUGGAAAUGGAAACUGGGGCGUCGGAGUCUCUGUAGGGUGGCGUUUCAAAAGGGGUGUUGGUUCGG